rnacentral:tRNA from 1 species
AGCUCAGUUGGGAGAGCACCUGCCUUACAAGCAGGGGGUCACUGGUUCGAACCCGGUA